GUGUUUGUUACUUGGCCUGCUUUCGUAAACGAUCAGCCGUUUUUCCAAAUUGUCAUCAAUGAUAGCUGUGUUGCUGCGGCGUCUUACUAGCGAUCUCAGCGGCCCAUCGCGCGGAGACGAUCGCGAUUUGACUGACGAAGACGCGAAGCGUCGCUUAGAGAGGCGUCCUAUCCCCACCGUACGCCACCUCUAUUUACACGCUACGUUCCUCUGUGCACGUGCAAACGAUUCGCACGCGUGUGUACCGGCGAUCGCGCGUACAUACAUAUACACGUACUUAUGUGCGGGGUUGCAAGCGAGCGUGUACAUACGUGCAAUAGGAACACCCAAGUGUAUCCCCACCACUGAUUUACACGCCAAACGUAACUUAGCUGGCCAUGUGACGUGACGAUGAUGCGUCGCGAACAUGCAAAUUAACGUUCUUACUCGAAUCACUGUUUCUCGAUGUAAAUGAACCCCGUGUUAACUUUCUUAUCGACGCGACCGAGAUUUUUCACGAUUUUAUUCGAGCUUCGGGAACGUGAUAUCGCGCUAUUAAUUGAAAUUUAUAGCGUUCGACUUAUCGCGUUAACCGGUACGUCGAAGUUACUGAAAAUUUCAUCGUAUCGCAGAAUAUCGUCCUAAAAUAGCCACAGAAUUGUUCCGUGAUUCUCGAGUAGUUUAUAAUCGGCGAUUAAGUUAACGCUGUUCGCAGAAUCCUAUGGUUUUUCUCUGUACGUACAUUGUUAGCCUAAACGAAAGACGUUGUGUUUGAAUCGGAUAAAAGGCGUAUACGUAUUAGGCGAGGCCGGUCCGUUUGAAAAGGAAACGAUUAAAAGGGGCAGGGAAAAAGGUCUACGAUCAAAUUUCAAGAAGGAUGUCGGCGCAAGGAUAGCGGCUCCUAUCGCACCCGCAGCGAUACUCGUCACGGAUAGGAAUAUUUCGUCGAGGGUGCUGUUUCGAAAAACCGUGUGUAUGCCGAUCGGUUUUCUUCUCUCAUGGUCCGUUGAUCCCCACCGAGUGAAAUGGAUCAAUGAAUGCACGGGGUAACAGUUGUAACCGACAUUCAUCGUGUGGUCUGAGGUUCUGCGAUCAUUACCGUGCUACGAGGACAAUUAUUGAAAUGAUUCACGAUGGAAACUUUCAAUUAGAUAGAAAACAUAAGAUUGAAACACGCAAAUAUACGUUUGAUCAAAUAACCAGGCUUUAAAGAAGAAAAUUGUCUUCAACCAGCUUGAAGACGGGGGCGAAUGAGAUGUGGGAAACGCGAAUAGAGUCUUGAUCGCCCGUAGCAACGUCCACCGAGUGGAUCAUCAGUGAUAAUGGAUCAAAACAAUGAAUACGAAUGAUCACGUAUAGACGUGUCUGAAAGCAUCUGGAUGACCGUGAUGUCGAAAUAACCGACACCUAUUACAGAUAUACUGUCAGUGCACACGUUCUUUAUUACUGUUAUAACAUUACAUUAUACGUCACAUCAUGACUAGUUACAAUAUUUCCAGCCCUUAGCCCUUCUGUACCUCCGUUCUGUGCCCACAGGGUAAACAAUAGUAAACCGUUCAUGACGAUGAUGUACAAGACUGCCAUAAAAGGAAUUAGAACUAAACUGAGAUGAGAAGUACCGGAAUUACAGAUUUAUGCUAAUCGGAUACUUAUUAAUAUUGUUACGGGGAAUUGGAUCGCUGCUAUCCCGUAGACGUUGCGCCAUUUUCAAUGCUCAGAAGCACUCGAUAGACGUGCAGGAAUGUCGGCUCAUAACUGACACCCUACACAAUCGAGUUCUCGUUUUAUUUAAUUAGGCAACGCAUCAGCAAAGAAAAUCAAGUGGAAAUAUGAACGAUAAUGCUGUAUGAACUAUCCAGGCGACGAAUACACAUUUCUCUAUAGAUCGCGUGAAAGUAUUAUAGUAAACGAGAAAAAUGGAAUAUAGUAUGGGGAAAUAACGAGUCUGACUAAACGUACAUAAACGUGCGAUCCGGUAUAUAACAUUGGGCAGAGGCCUCGCCCUGAGCAUCCGUUUUCCACUGGCCUACUAAAAUCCACGUCGUGUAUGAAAAUAGAACUGUCAUAGUGGCAAGAGAAGAGCUAGUCGAUUCGUAGAUUAGAAACGAAAGGAGGAGUCCGAACAGAAAGAACGAUAAAACGUUGCAAUCGGUGGAUCGAAUCGAAGGAAGGAACUAAAACGAUGAUGUAUGAUGGAAAUUGGAUGAACGGGAAGGACGAACGUUCUUCUUAUCGUUCCAACCUUUAGCCUAAUGGAUAUCGUGCGAUUGAUCAUCGCGUGAUCCUCUCUUUCAAUGGAACUGCUGGUAUCGAAGAAUAUGCUCGUUACGAUAGCUUCUAAUUCGCAGAUCGAAGGCGUGACACGGAAGAUACAUCGGAUCACCUUCGAUUUUAAGCAACCCAAUGGUGUGUAAUGGUCGACCAGUGAAUUUCGCUGUAGCACCGAUUUUUACCAGCUUGAAUAGGCCAGCUUCCGGUGUUUUCGAACCGCUGAACUUCUCUAACAAAAGUGUAGUCAAGGUGUAAAGAGGACACGGACCAACUCGUGCCAACUUUACUCUUUAAGGCGGCUGCGUAAUUUCAUUAUCCCAAGAGGGAUGAAUUCCAUAGCGAAGGACAAACUUGGUUGCUUCAAAGAAAUAUCUAAGAACCUUUAAGAAUAUUUGCGAAUCAUGGUGAAAUAUGCAAAUGUCUAUGACCACGAGAUAAAGAAGGACAGAAAUCCUAUGAGCAAAUUAUAAAUCUAACUUGAUCGAAGAGUAAAAAAGAUCGUGUGUUUGUUCGAUUUUGCAUAGAACCUAGAACGUAUUUCCUCGAGAGCAGUGGGUCACCUAUUCUAGUCAGCAUGAUACCGGCCAGAUGAAAUCCUAGAUCGACGGUUACCAUAACGACCAACGGCUCUCCCUUUAUUAUUUCCCUACAUCACGCUCGUGUACACUGCAGUACACUACCAGAUCUUCCGCAUCCCCUGUCCCACCGUCCCAUGUGAUUACAGGACGAGAUGCUUUCAUUCACAACCCCCUAGCGUUCUAUUUUCUUUCUUUUUUCAUCGUAGCUUUUCUAUCGCGCCGCCUAUACUCGACAGAUUGCAUAGUACGUUUCGGUAAAUUCAAUGAAGAAACGUCGAUUCGUUUUUGACCGGUAAUAAUAUUUCAAUCCACGCUUGCGACUGAUUCGAUCGUCCAACACUGUCUGUCAAUCCCUCCACCCAUCCUUCUAAAUUCACGACCGAAUGAAAACGACAAUGGGCUUUCGAUUGAACUUUUGACAAUCGUCAAGGAGAAUAAUGAAACGCUAAAGUCUCGUAUUGUUAGCUAUUAAUCCUUCUCCCUCUAUGCGUAAGAUAUAAAUGAACUUAUCAAACUUUUUUCUGCUUUAGGAAAAUGCUGAAUCUAGGUCCUGAUACUACAUCGAACGAGGUCGAUUCAUAUAUAUGUAUAUAUAUAUACAAUAUAUAUUUGCUAGGCCAACUUGUAUAUACACAUAAGGAAACAAUGUCGAGUUUUACGCAACACGCAAACACGCGAACGUGACCGUUCCUUAGCGAGAUAAUACAUAAACCUUGUAUGCCUGUUUGCAAAAACAUUUUUCUAGGAUUAGCAGGAUCGCCGUGUAACGAGGAAAAAGUCCGAAGACCAAGGUAACCAAGACCUUGAAAACGAAACGCAGAAUGAAAAGAAGCUAUCUGUCUUUAAACGUAAUGUUUCGCGUCAUACCUGGACGAUGCAUCAUCGUUUCUUGUGCAACAUCCUUCGUUUCAUUGCAUUCGAUUCAAGCCUGAUGUUUCGUAUUCGCCGAUCUAUCUGCUUUUCUUAUUUUAAUAGGCGUAAACAUCGCGAAAAAAAAUAAUUAUGGACAAUUAAAACGACGAAGAGGUAUCCAUUCGCUUCAGAACAGAAGAAAGCGUUACGCAGUCCGUUCUCUUUUUAUAUAACAAUUGGUAGAACGUCGGCGAACUUGGAAAGCAUCAUUUAUUUGCAACGGAAUCAGAAAAAACAGCAUAAAGUUCAGUAAUUAAACAGCCAUGCAGUUUGCCAGGGGGGAGGGACGCAGGACAUCCUACGAAUUACUCGUCAUCGUGUUACAUCAUUGGUCAUGGAUCCAAUAAUAGACGACGAUGAAUAGAAAACGUUUAAUAUUGUUGAUCGUAAAAUUCAACUGAGAACUAUAAGAAUGGGUGCCAUGAUAAUCGCGCUAACAGUCGGCUUACGAUUGCUUUAACAACUUAAUUAAAUGUACGAUAAAAGCAUUAUUG